rnacentral:rRNA from 1 species
GACGGGGCCGCACAAGCGGUGGAGCAUGUGGUUUAAUUCGACGCAACGCGAAGAACCUUACCAGGGCUUGACAUCUUCUGACCGCUUAAGGAACUUAAGCUUUCCGGAAGGUUUACUUUCUGGACAGAAAGACAGGUGGUGCAUGGUUGUCGUCAGCUCGUGUCGUGAGAUGUUGGGUUAAGUCCCGCAACGAGCGCAACCCCUAUUGUUAGUUGCCAUCAUUCAGUUGGGCACUCUAGCGAGACUGCCGGUAAUAAACCGGAGGAAGGUGGGGAUGACGUCAAAUCAUCAUGCCCCUUAUGACCUGGGCUACACACGUGCUACAAUGGUUGGUACAACGAGUUGCGAGUCGGUGACGGCGAGCUAAUCUCUUAAAGCCAAUCUCAGUUCGGAUUGUAGGCUGCAACUCGCCUACAUGAAGUCGGAAUCGCUAGUAAUCGCGGAUCAGCACGCCGCGGUGAAUACGUUCCCGGGCCUU